rnacentral:misc_RNA from 1 species
GAUGAAGAACGUAGUGAAAUGCGAUAAGUAAUGCGAAUUGCAGAAUUCAGUGAAUCAUCGAAUCUUUGAACGCACAUUGCGCCCGCCAGGAUUCUGGCGGGCAUGCCUGUCUGUGCGUCGUUUCGACCCUCGCGCCCGGCUUCUGUCGGGGGCGGUGUUGGGGAUCGGCCACACCCUUCAGUGGGAGGCCGGCCCCUAAAUUCAGUGGCGACCACGCUGUAGCCUCCCCUGCGUAGUACUAAAACCACCUCGCAGGCGGAGAGCGGUGCGGCCCGCCGUAAAACCCCCCAACUUUUACAAGGUCGACCUCAGAUCAGGUAGGAAUACCCGCUGAACUUAAGCAUAUCAAUAAGCGGAGGA